rnacentral:rRNA from 1 species
AUUGAACGCUGGCGGCAGGCCUAACACAUGCAAGUCGAACGAGUGGCGGACGGGUGAGUAAUGCCUGGGAAACUGCCUGAUGGAGGGGGGUAACUAUUGGAAACGGUAGCUAAUACCGCUUACCCUCGGAGUUGCCCAGAUGGGAUUAGCUGGUGGGUGGGGUAAAGGCUCACCUAGGCGCCGAUCCCUAGCUGGGCUGAGUGGAUGACCAGACAGACUGGGACUGAGACGCGGGCCAGACUCCUACGGGAGGCAUCAGAGGGGUAGCGUAGGAAAUGGGGGAAAGCCUGAUGCAGCCAUGCCGCGUGUAUGAAGAAGGCCUUCGGGUUGUAAAGUACUUUCAGCGGGGGUGCGUUACCCACAUGAGAAGCACCGGCUAACUCCGUGCCAGCCGCCGCGGUAAUAC